rnacentral:rRNA from 1 species
AACGAACGCUGGCGGCAUGCCUAACACAUGCAAGUCGAACGAGAACUUCGGGUCUAGUGGCGCACGGGUGCGUAACGCGUGGGAAUCUGCCCUUUGGUUCGGAAUAACAGUUGGAAACGACUGCUAAUACCGGAUGAUGACGAAGGUCCAAAGAUUUAUCGCCAGAGGAUGAGCCCGCGUAGGAUUAGCUAGUUGGUGUGGUAAAGGCGCACCAAGGCGACGAUCCUUAGCUGGUCUGAGAGGAUGAUCAGCCACACUGGGACUGAGACACGGCCCAGACGCCUACGGGAGGCAGCAGUGGGGAAUAUUGGACAAUGGGCGAAAGCCUGAUCCAGCAAUGCCGCGUGAGUGAUGAAGGCCUUAGGGUUGUAAAGCUCUUUUACCCGGGAUGAUAAUGACAGUACCGGGAGAAUAAGCUCCGGCUAACUCCGUGCCAGCAGCCGCCGUAA